rnacentral:rRNA from 1 species
CAGCCGUAAACUAUGCUCGCUAGGUGUCAGGGACAGUGCGACCGUUUCUGGUGCCGCAGGGAAGCCGUGAAGCGAGCCACCUGGGAAGUACGGUCGCAAGGCUGAAACUUAAAGGAAUUGGCGGGGGAGCACUACAACGGGUGGAGCCUGCGGUUUAAUUGGACUCAACGCCGGGAAGCUCACCGGAUAAGACAGCGGAAUGAUUGCCGGGCUGAAGACCCUGCAUGACCAGCUGAGAGGAGGUGCAUGGCGUCAGUGACU